UGUCCUGUUGACGUGCUGCCGCUCCUGUUUGUGUGUUAUGUUAGCCGUUAGCAUGCCUUUAGGCCUUUGCACUUUAGAGCUACAGCUGGUCGAUUGCUACAAAAAGAAACUGCAGAUGAACGCGGUUAUGUUUGUUAUUACCCCGUCCUGUGUCACAGCCUAAAUCAACUUGUGAUUUGGGGUUAUGUCAUUGUUCUAUCAAAUUCUAACAUGAUUAGUUGGAAUGAUUACUGUCUUGUGUUGCAAGCUUAGUUGCUAAUUAGUCACAUCUCUACAAUACCUGCUGAUUAUCUGGUCAGUUACCUAUAGCUUGUACCAUAGCCAUUAUAUUUGUAGGACCAAUACAAUUUACAGUAAAUGUAACAGUCUUUUCUAUACUGUAGGGAGCCACAUCCCAGUUACCCACAUGCAAGGAGGCUGUCAAACAAAGAAAUCACUGCAGACUGUUGGUACACGGACAUCUGCUGCCCAGCUCAGGAGUAAAGUACCUUUUUGUUUGAUGAGGUGAUGGUGAGGACAGCCACAGCUUCCAUCUGGUAGAGGACUGCUUCCGCUCAGUCUUCCAAAUAGUGAUGAGAACAAGGAUCACCACAUCUCCCUGUUUACCCUACUUUCAUGCAUUUCAUCUGCAAGGCCCUGCAAAAGCUUCUGUCCUCAAACCCCCAGACUUCUUAAUUAACUCAGUAACCUGUACAUUGCACAUUGGAGUGUGAAGGUAACAGUUUGUUCUAGCUUUGGAGUAGUGGUGCAUUUUUUUGGUUUACAAUAAAGUUGGCUUUAACUAUUA